rnacentral:rRNA from 1 species
GAUGUCCUACGGGAGGCAGCAGUGAGGAAUAUUGGUCAAUGGGCGAGAGCCUGAACCAGCCAAGUCGCGUGAGGGAAGACGGUCCUAUGGAUUGUAAACCUCUUUUGCCGGGGAGCAAAAAGCGGUACGUGUACCGCAUCGAGAGUACCCGGAGAAAAAGCAUCGGCUAACUCCGUGCCAGCAGCCGCGGUAAUACGGAGGAUCCGAGCGUUAUCCGGAUUUAUUGGGUUUAAAGGGAGCGUAGGUGGAUUGUUAAGCCAGUUGUGAAAGUUUGCGGCUCAACCGUAAAAUUGCAGUUGAAACUG